GUCGGUUUAAUCAUUUACCCCGUAAUUGUUUUUCGAACGAACAACGACGCGUUUCAGAAUUCCGAUAACCAUUAACCAUGCAAUUCUAAUUAACGAUACUUAAAUCAAUCUCACUUCACAAAAUUUCCCGGGUUACCAUAUUCAUCAAUCAAAUCUGGGUUAUUCGGUAAAUUUUGUGUACUUUUCCUUGUUAAUAAUAAGGAGGGUUGAGAAAU